CAAGUGAACGGCAGCACGGGUCUUCACCUGGUGGCGAGUGGCGAACGGGUGAGUAAUACAUCGGAACAUGUCCUGUAGUGGGGGAUAGCCCGGCGAAAGCCGGAUUAAUACCGCAUACGAUCUACGGAUGAAAGCGGGGGACCUUCGGGCCUCGCGCUAUAGGGUUGGCCGAUGGCUGAUUAGCUAGUUGGUGGGGUAAAGGCCUACCAAGGGCGACGAUCAGUACUGGUCUGAGAGGACGAACNAGCCCACUUGGGACUUGAGACACGGCCAGACUCCUACGGGAGGCAGCAGUGGGGAAUUUUGGACAAUGGGCGAAAGCCUGAUCCAGCAAUGCCGCGUGUGUGAAGAAGGCCUUCGGGUUGUAAAGCACUUUUGUCCGGAAAGAAAUCCUUGGCUCUAAUACAGUCGGGGGAUGACGGUACCGGAAGAAUAAGCACCGGCUAACUACGUGCCAGCAGCCGCGGUAAUACGUAAGGUGCGAGCGUUAAUCGGAAUUACUGGGCGUAAAGCGUGCGCAGGCGGUUUGCUAAGACCGAUGUGAAAUCCCCGGGCUCAACCUGGGAACUGCAUUGGUGACUGGCAGGCUAGAGUAUGGCAGAGGGGGGUAGAAUUCCACGUGUAGCAGUGAAAUGCGUAGAGAUGUGGAGGAAUACCGAUGGCGAAGGCAGCCCCCUGGGCCAAUACUGACGCUCAUGCACGAAAGCGUGGGGAGCAAACAGGAUUAGAUACCCUGGUAGUCCACGCCCUAAACGAUGUCAACUAGUUGUUGGGGAUUCAUUUCCUUAGUAACGUAGCUAACGCGUGAAGUUGACCGCCUGGGGAGUACGGUCGCAAGAUUAAAACUCAAAGGAAUUGACGGGGACCCGCACAAGCGGUGGAUGAUGUGGAUUAAUUCGAUGCAACGCGAAAAACCUUACCUACCCUUGACAUGGUCGGAAUCCCGCUGAGAGGUGGGAGUGCUCGAAAGAGAACCGGCGCACAGGUGCUGCAUGGCUGUCGUCAGCUCGUGUCGUGAGAUUUGGGUUAAGUCCCGCAACGAGCGCAAACCCUGUCUUAGUUGCUACGCAAGAGCACUCUAAGGAGACUGCCGGUGACAAACCGGAGGAAGGUGGGGAUGACGUCAAGUCCUCAUGGCCUUAUGGGUAGGGCUUCACACGUCAUACAAUGGUCGGAACAGAGGUUGCCAACCCGCGAGGGGGAGCUAAUCCCAGAAAACCGAUCGUAGUCCGGAUUGCACUCUGCAACUCGAGUGCAUGAAGCUGGAUCGCUAUAAUCGCGAUCAGAUCC
rnacentral:rRNA from 1 species